rnacentral:rRNA from 1 species
GAUGAACGCUGGCGGCGUGCCUAAUACAUGCAAGUCGAGCGAACGGACGAGAAGCUUGCGUCUCUGAUGUUAGCGGCGGACGGGUGAGUAACACGUGCAUCACCUACCUAUAAGACUGGGAUAACUUCGGGAAACCGGAGCUAAUACCGGAUAAUAUUUUGAACCGCAUGGUUCAAGAGUGAAAGACGGUUUUGCUGUCACUUAUAGCUGGAUCCGCGCUGCAUUAGCUAGUUGGUAAGGUAACGGCUUACCAAGGCAACGAUGCAUAGCCGACCUGAGAGGGUGAUCGGCCACACUGGAACUGAGACACGGUCCAGACUCCUACGGGAGGCAGCAGUAGGGAAUCUUGCACAAAGGGCGAAAGCCUGACGGAGCAACGCCGCGUGAGUGAUGAAGGUCUUCGGAUUGUAAAACUCUGUUAUUGGGGAAGAACAGAUGUGUAUGUAACUGUGCACAUCUUGACGGUACCUAAUCAGAAAGCCACGGCUAACUACGUG